rnacentral:lncRNA from 10 species
AGUGGACCAGCUCCUGGGACCUUCCAAAACAUUGGCUUUGACAUCUGCCAAGAUGAUGAUUCCAUCCACCUGGAGUCCAUCUAUAGUAAUUUCCAGCCCUCCUUGAGACACAUAGACCCUGAAACAAAGAUCCGAAUUCAGAGGCCUCAGGUAAUGACGACAUCAUUUUAAGGCAUGGAGCUGAGAAGUCUGGGAGUGAGGAGAUCCCAGUCCGGCUAAGCUUGGUGGAGCAUUUUCCCAUUGAGAGCCUUCCAUGGGAACUCAAUGUUCCCAUUGUAAGUACAGGAAACAAGCCCUGUACUUACCAAGGAGAAAGAGGAGAGACAGCAGUGCUGGGAGAUUCUCAAAUAGAAACCCGUGGACGCUCCAAUGGGCUUGUCAUGAUAUCAGGCUAGGCUUUCCUGCUCAUUUUUCAAAGACGCUCCAGAUUUGAGGGUACUCUGACUGCAACAUCUUUCACCCCAUUGAUCGCCAGGAUUGAUUUGGUUGAUCUGGCUGAGCAGGCGGGUGUCCCCGUCCUCCCUCACUGCCCCAUAUGUGUCCCUCCUAAAGCUGCAUGCUCAGUUGAAGAGGACGAGAGGACGACCUUCUCUGAUAGAGGAGGACCACGCUUCAGUCAAAGGCAUACAAGUAUCUAUCUGGACUUCCCUGCUAGCACUUCCAAACAAGCUCAGAGAUGUUCCUCCCCUCAUCUGCCCGGGUUCAGUACCAUGGACAGCGCCCUCGACCCGCUGUUUACAACCAUGACCCCUUGGACACUGGACUGCAUGCACUUUACAUAUCACAAAAUGCUCUCAUAAGAAUUAUUGCAUACCAUCUUCAUGAAAAACACCUGUAUUUAAAUAUAGAGCAUUUACCUUUUGGUAUAUAAGAUUGUGGGUAUUUUUUAAGUUCUUAUUGUUAUGAGUUCUGAUUUUUUCCUUAGUAAAUAUUAUAAUAUAUAUUUGUAGUAACUAAAAAUAAUAAAGCAAUUUUAUUAC